GCGCCAUGAUUCCUUUUCCGCGCGCGCGCGCGCUCUUCGGUAUAGUGUGCAGUGCGAAGAGACGCAGAACGUCUCGCAUUUCGACCAAUUCAAAUACAGUGUGUAUGUAUAUGUGUGUGAUCGGUAAGGAACAGAAAAUGACGAUCGGCUGGCUGGCUGGCUGGAGAGAGUGAAAGAGAGAGAGAUGAGAGACGUAGAGAGUGUGUGAGAGACGGCAGAGACGCAGCGUGGAAACAGUGCGCAACGACUACGACGCGGUCAUCAUAAGUAUUAUUCUUUUGG
ensembl:ncRNA Y46E12BL.9 ncRNA